rnacentral:rRNA from 1 species
GACGAACGCUGGCGGCGUGCUUAACACAUGCAAGUCGAACGGAAAGGCCCUGCUUUUGUGGGGUGCUCGAGUGGCGAACGGGUGAGUAACACGUGAGUAACCUGCCCUUGACUUUGGGAUAACUUCAGGAAACUGGGGCUAAUAUCGGAUAGGAGCUCAUGCUGCAUGGUGGGGGGUGGAAAGUUUCGGCGGUUGGGGAUGGACUCGCGGCUUAUCAGCUUGUUGGUGGGGUAGUGGCUUACCAAGGCUUUGACGGGUAGCCGGCCUGAGAGGGUGACCGGGCACAUUGGGACUGAGAUACGGCCCAGACUCCUACGGGAGGCGGCAGUGGGGAAUAUUGCACAAUGGGCGGAAGCCUGAGGCAGCAACGCCGCGUGCGGGAUGACGGCCUUCGGGUUGUAAACCGCUUUCGCCUGUGACGAAGCGUGAGUGACGGUAAUGGGUAAAGAAGCACCGGCUAACUACGUG